GGCUCGUUACAGAACAAAUGAGACUUCCUCAUUCCUGAUGAAGGAAGCUUUGAUUAAAACUCAAGAAGGAUCAAUGAGGCCCGAACGACUGUCAUCAAGUCUCCACAUGGGCACAUACAUUGAAUAAUCGGUUUCCUCAUGGAUGAAAAAUCUUUUGACCCGACAAAUAAAGCCGGUGCAAUCGUCGACAGACUUGGCCGAAUGCUCCCUCGUCGUUUCGUACUUCUCGAUUGCACUUGUCACAAAAGCAGUGAGAAUAUUUAGUCGUUCGAGCGCAGAAUCCUCUGUGGAAAAGAACGGAAGGAACAGAUUAACAAAAAAACGCACUUGAAAACAGUGUCCGGCCGUCGUCCGAGUCAUCAGAAUCAUCGUUGCUUUCAACUUUUUUAACGAUUUCCAAUUUCGGAAUGAAAAGAAGGAGACAGAUGAGAGCAAUGAAUUUAACAAUCAUCUUGAAAAUGACGAGC